AGAAUGACUCUCGGCAACGGAUAUCUAGGCUCUUGCAUCGAUGAAGAACGUAGCGAAAUGCGAUACUUGGUGUGAAUUGCAGAAUCCCGUGAACCAUCGAGUCUUUGAACGCAAGUUGCGCCUGAUGCCAUUAGGUUGAGGGCACGUCUGCCUGGGCGUCACAU
rnacentral:rRNA from 2 species